rfam:Corynebacterium flavescens strain OJ8, complete genome.
UGAGCCAGCCGGGUGAUCGCGGCAAACGAACCGGCGCCCUCCCCUAGGGCGGCGUCAGGCGGAUGCCGAGGAAAGUCCGGACUCCACAGAGCACGGUGGUUGCUAACGGCAACCCGGGGCGACCCGCGGGCAAGUGCAACAGAAAGUAGACCGCCCAGUUUUCUGGGUAAGGGUGAAACGGUGCGUUAAGAGCGCACCAGCGCUGUCAGUGAUGGCAGUGGCUAGGUAAACCCCACCGGGAGCAAGGCAUCAUAAUCCGCCUUAUGGCGGGUUUGAUCAGGCGUUGUAGGGUGACUCGCCCGAGCCUGAAGGUAGCUGCUUGAGGUCAGCCGGCAACGGUUGAUCCAGAUGGAUGAUCACCGCGCGCGGGCCUGCGGCCCGCGCGAAGAGACAGAAUCCGGCUUAUAGGCUGACUCAUUCG